rnacentral:sRNA from 1 species
GCUGUCUUUAUGGCUACAAUCGCACAAUUAAUUAGAAAACCGCGGAAAAAGAAGAAGGUUAAAUCUAAAUCACCCGCUUUACAUUACA